rfam:Ovis aries breed Texel chromosome 12, whole genome shotgun sequence.
UCCCUGGUGGUCCCAUGGCUAAGACCCUGCACUCCGAAUGCAGGGAGCCCGGGUUCAAUCCCUGGGCAGGGAA